rnacentral:rRNA from 1 species
UACGGAGGAGGCAAGCGUUAUCCGGAAUUAUUGGGCGUAAAGCGUCCGUAGAUGGUUUUGUCAGUCUGCUGUCAAAGCACAGGGCUCAACCCUGUAAAGGCAGUGGAAACUACAAGACUAGAGUGCAGUAGGGGCAGGGGGAAUUCCCAGUGUAGCGGUGAAAUGCGUAGAGAUUGGGAAGAACAUCCGUGGCGAAAGCGCUCUGCUGGACUGCAACUGACAUUGAGGGACGAAAGCUAGGGGAGCGAAUGGG